rnacentral:lncRNA from 1 species
UUUUUUUGUUUCUCAUUCCUUUCACAGUGGAUGGAUGCAUCCACCGUGCAGCCGGACCUCUGCUGAAAGAAGAAUGCCGGACACUGAAUGGUUGCGAGACUGGAAAAGCGAAAAUCACCUGUGGGUACCGUCUCCCAGCUAGAUUUGUGAUUCACACAGUGGGGCCCAUCGCCCAGGGCCAGCCCAGUUCCUCGCAGGAGACCGAACUCGGCGACUGCUACAAGAACAGCUUGAAACUCGCCUUGGAAAACAAGCUGCAAACAGUGGCCUUCCCCUGUAUUUCCACCGGGGUGUUUGGUAAGUACCAAGGCAGAGGGGAAGAGAGAAAGGUGGGCAGGAUACCUGCCCAGGUAUUCGGCCACUUCCAAUGUUCCUUCACAGGCUACCCGAAUGACGAUGCUGCGGAGGUUGUUCUCAACACAUUACACAGUUGGCUAGAAGGCAACAAGGACAAGGUAUAUGGGUGGGCCAAGGCCUUUGGCGGGAGCUGGAAAAAGCAGCCGUUUGGCUCGGCCCGGUGUCUCUUUCUGACCAAGCACACAAUCUUAGCUUCUCAGCCAACAGCUGGCCUUUUGCAGGGGGUGGUGUGUACUGUAGGAUAGGCGGGGAAAAUUGAGAGGGGAAAAACUCUUUUAAAGGGAUUAUUAGUAAACCCAUGCAAAGCCCCAUCACAGAAUUUGGAGUAGUGCUCUCCACUUAUAGUCCUCUACUUAUAACUGUUCGUUAAGUGACAAAAGUUGAAGAGCUGUGACUUACCUGUGUUAGAAAUCCCUUCAACCCAAACUCUAAUUUGAGAUAAGAGUACCUUUAAACUUGGAUUGGGCCAGGUGCAAGCAGUGUGUGAAGGCGGGCCCCACACAUUUCCAAAGUGCCAUCCUGACCUCCCCCCCCUCCCAGCUUCCUUUUCCUGCUAACCAUGGUUAUAUCUUGGCCAGGUCGAGCGGCUGAUCGUCUGUGUUUUCCUGGAAAAGGACGAUGAAAUUUAUAAGGAGAAGCUGCCCAAGUUUUUUCCCAUCGAUCCCGCUGAGGAACCUCCGUCCUCAAAGCUCUGAAGUGGCUCCCCUGCAAAUCCCGCUGCUUCUCUGCAGGAGGAGACGCCGGAUCUUUUCCAAGGGGGGAAAGCUAGGAGAAAACAGCCCCCCCCCCUCUUCUUCUUCUUCCCCAGGCGCGAUCGGCCGCAAUGCCGGAAUAAAAAUGAAAAGAGGAUCCGGUCGUGUCGCUGGUAAAAGCCUGGUGGGUGGAUGGGGGCGAGUGAGUAGAAGCGGGACUGGGGUCCUGGGUGAAACACCCACAUACACAGUACUUACACACACACACACACACACACACAGAGAAUUACAUCCGCCUACCUACUGGACCCCCCCCACCUCCCGGCCUAUCCCGGCUAGACUUAAGCGACUGAGAGUUUCAGGCCCCCCCUUUUGGCAGACCGUUUUGCUGUGCUUAGCAGUUUUCU